rnacentral:misc_RNA from 1 species
GAUGAAGAACGUAGCGAAAUGCGAUAAGUAAUGUGAAUUGCAGAAUUCAGGGAAUCAUCGAAUCUUUGAACGCACAUUGCGCCCGCCAGUAUUCUGGCGGGCAUGCCUGUCCGAGCGUCAUUUCAACCCUCGAACCCCUCCGGGGGGUCGGCGUUGGGGAUCGGCCCUGCCUCUUGGCGGUGGCCGUCUCCGAAAUACAGUGGCGGUCUCGCCGCAGCCUCUCCUGCGCAGUAGUUUGCACACUCGCAUCGGGAGCGCGGCGCGUCCACAGCCGUUAAACACCCAACUUCUGAAAUGUUGACCUCGGAUCAGGUAGGAAUACCCGCUGAACUUAAGCAUAUCAAUAAGCGGAGGA